rnacentral:rRNA from 1 species
GAUAGGUUAAGUUAAUAAGGGCGCAUGGUGGAUGCCUUGGCACUAGAAGGCGAUGAAGGACGUGACUAACUACGAUAUGCCUCGGUUAGCUGUAAGUAAGCUUACCCGGGGGUUUCCGAAUGGGGCAACCCGAUCUUAAUGAUCAUCAUCUUUUUGAAUUCAUAGAUUAGAUGAAGCAAACGCUGUGAACUGAAACAUCUCAGUAGCAGUAGGAAAGUAAAGAAAUUUCGAUUCCGUCAGUAGCGGCGAGCGAACGCGGAAGAGCCCAAACCUGGAUGCUUGCAUCCAGGGGUUGUAGGACUGAUGUUGAGUUACAAAGGUAUAAGAUAGCAGAAACAGUUGGGAAGCUGUUCCAAAGAGGGUGACAGGCCCGUAUGCGAAAUCUUGUACUCUCUAAUCAGGAUCCUGAGUACGGCCCAGCACGUGAAAUUGGGUCGGAAUCUGGGAGGACCAUCUCCCAAGGCUAAAUACUAACUAGUGACCGAUAGCGAACAAGUACCGUGAGGGAAAGGUGAAAAGAACCCCGGAAGGGGAGUGAAAUAGUUCUUGAAACCGUGUGCUUACAAGAAGUUCGAGGCCGUUAAUGGCUGAGAGCGUGCUUUUUGUAGAAUGAACCGGAGAGUUACGAUUGCGUGCAAGGUUAAGGUGCAAAGACUGGAGCCGUAGCGAAAGCGAGUCUUAAUAGGGCGAAUCAGUACGUAGUUGUAGACCCGAAACCGAGUGACCUAUCCAUGGUCAGGUUGAAGGUGGGGUAAUACCUACUGGAGGACCGAACAAGUGGGUGUUAAAAAACCCUUUGAUGAACUGUGGAUAGCG